rnacentral:misc_RNA from 1 species
AUAACAACCCCCUCGAGCCGCCCGUUUAUGGUGUGGCUUUGGUGUUGGAGUGCGUCGCGCGUCGACGGCUCUGAAAAACAGUGGCGGUCUCGGCGUGAGCUCUACGCGUAGUACUUUACUCCUCGCGACAGAGAGACGACGGUGACUUUGCCAAUAAGCGAAAAACCCAAGGCAAAGGACGAGCGAGCGAAGAAAACCCAUGGCGGUAUAAGUAACGGCCGAGUUUAUGGUUGUCGCCCCCCCACGUGUUUGCGCGAGCCCGUCUCCCUUGGGGGUUCUUCCACAGG